CGGCUGCCCUGACCCUCCUGCCCCUGGCUUCUCACAGCCACACUGUGGCGCUGACCUGAGACUCGGAGCGGCUGCUGGAGGUUCGGAAGCGGAUCGAUGGGGAGCAUCCCACAACCAUGGCUGGCAGAUGCCAAGGGGAUGUGUGAGAUGGCCCAGCUCCAGGACAGACAUGUGGCACCCAUGAAACUCAAUUGGAGGGAAGCUGGGGAGAGCCUCACAGCACUGGACAAGCCAUCGGAUGGCGCCGCCCCCAGGGACACACCCGGUGGCGGGGACCGGGAUAUGGAGGACCUAAGGCAAAGAGUGGCUUAAAACGUGACAGCGGAUCAGCCGCUGGGGAAAUGCAAGAGGGGAUUUGACAGCUGGGCCAGGUGUUCCAGGAGAGCACUUUCCAAAAGAUUUUCCAUCCAAACUUCCAGCAGGAAGUAGAUCUUCCACUGUCAUCCAGAGCAUAUCUGCCCAUUCAGGUAACUGAAGCAAUAUUCUGGGAACCCUCACCAUCCCUCCUGUGGAGCAGCUCGCUCUCCAGCUGGAGUCAGCUCUAGGCUGCCUCACUUUAACAAAAUGUUAGCUGCAGCCAUUGGAAUGAAUUUCACACCCUCUAUGAGUUGGAGUGCAAAAUUGGAAGAGUGGCAGUUGACUCUCAGUAUCAUCAAGGAUUCAUUUAUUUUAUGAUGGUUAACAACAUUUUUCAAGCCACACUAACCGGGCCAGCUGGUAAUAAUAGUAAUGAUAACCGGCCGGACGCGAUGGCCCACACCUGUAAUCCCCACUCUUUGGGAGGCUGAGGUGGGCUGAUCGCCUGAGAUCAGGAGUUCGGGACCAGCCCGGUCAACAUGGUGAAACCCCGUCUCUAUUAGAAACACGAAAAUGUAGCAUGAUGGUGGGCACCUGUAGACCAGCUACCUGGGAGGCUGAAGCCGGAGAAUUGCUCAAACCCAGGAGGCAGAGGCCACAGUGAGCUGAGAUAGCAACGUUGCACUCCAGCCUGGGCAGCAGAGUGAAACUCCAUCUCAGGAAAAAAAAAAAAAAAAAAAAAGAUAAUACUAAUAAGCCCCUGAAGGUAUUACACAUGCAGCACUUUCCAGUUUAAAAAGCACUUUCAAAGGACAAGUAGAGUAUGGUCCCACCCAUAGGAGGUACCCAGGGUAGCCAAAUAGAGAGAUGGGAACUAGCAUGGUGGUUAAUAGAGCCAAAUAGAGAGAUGGGAACUAGCAUGGGGACAGAUUUGAGUUUUGCAAGAUGGAAAAGAUCUAGACGUGCCAUUGCACUCCAGCCUGGGCGGCAGAGUGAGACUCCGUCUAAAAAAAAC
rnacentral:lncRNA from 1 species